CAAAAGAUCAUGUACCAAAGACAUCUUGAUCUGAUAAAAAUGUUGGAUAUCAAACACCAGUGCAUUUGAAAACUGAAGGCUCCAUCAACUCGCCAUGGUUUUUUCCUUGCAAUCGUUGUCUAAUGCUGUUGGAUGAGAAAUAGACUACCUAAUGUGACCACAGGGAAUCUUAUAUAAUCUUAUUAGCUGCAGCAGCCAGGAAAUCCUGCACUGGAGACAUCCUGUGAAAGAAAUUUUCAAUAUCGGGCACCUCUUCAAUUUUAAAACUGAUAAGGUUCCAUUGGCUUGCCAUGUUAUGUUGUUGGAUGAUAAUUGGACUAGGUAAUCCGGCCAUAGGGAAUCUUAUAUAUUCUUGUAUCUAUAAUUUUGUAACAAAUUAUUACUCAAAAGCCAGCUUUUAUUUCUUUUCUUUUCAAGCUGCAACAUUGCAGGCCAUAGGUAAUUUUGUUUUGCAUCUCCAUCUUUCAUUGUUUUACCAUCAUUAGAGGUAUUUCUGUAAUGUGAUUUGGAAACAUUGCAGGCUUUCUAUUAAAGUGAAGAACAUCUCUAUUAGAAUCAGAAAUUGGUUGUUGUUCUCUUCCCUAAAGGACUUCAGCCAACUUAUAGCUCAACAUCUUCUCUGCCUGUUUUGACCAAGUAAAAUAUGCCUUUUGGUCACAAG